CAGGAUGACCUUAUCUGGCCCGCUGUCGAGCUGGUGUGGGAUGACCCUCUGAAAGUGCUGCAGCACAGAGAGAAACAGUGUAAGUGGCACACACACGUAAACCUCCAAUCAUUACUUGGAGCAUGUAAUCGGCACAGUAAUUGUUUCAAUAUCUGGGUGUGGCGGAGGUUCGUCCCUUGAGCUAACAGUAGAAAUGAGAACUGCUUGCAUGACAUGUGAUGUGGAACUCAUGGAGAUGUACCUGUAACAUUCCCUCCAUGUCCAGCUGGAUGAGUUCAGUCUGGUUCAUCUGAAGGAUGGCCAGUCCCACACGGAAAACUAUCUCCAGACCCUGAAAAGAGAGCAACAGUUCUCACUGAGGAGCCAUCUUAAGUAAAACACUCAGACACGUUUUCUAAAGUGGACUGAGAGUUAAAGGUCUGUUCGAUCAGGUUACAUAGGAAUGGUGAAACAACUCAAGAGUAACUACUGAAUGUGGUGCUGUUUUUCUCCAACAGGUGGUGCUAAUGGAUUACCUUUACAUGACAGCUAACUUAAUGCAAUCUACCAAUGAAGCCUCCCUCAAAGCAGAAGAAAAAAUGUCAACCUUGCAUCUUUUGAAGUGAAAACACUUUUCUUUUGUGCACUGUCCCUUUAAAAUGUGCAGGAUAAUAUUCAAUCAUAGACCACAAACUCAAAAAGACAGGCAAAAGUACAUUAGGUGUAAAAGACAAAGCGCAUUCUUCUAGAGCAGUGGUUCAUACCGCUGUGCUGCAGCGAGCACUCUCCAGGUCUGCCGUAGAAUCUUUUUUUGAUGUCCCAAUUUUUUUUCUCACUUAAUUAACUUCACUUCAUAUAACUUUAUCUUAUUAGUUGUACAAUGGAGUUGAUAAGCUAAUAAAAUGUAUAUAUUGCUCAGAUUUUGAAAUAUUAAAUUGAAUAUAGCCUCAUACGGACUGCUUAAAUUCUCAUGACCUAUGUCUGCCGUCAUUGUUUACGGCGUGCAAGGAGCAGCUUUUUAUCCUCGCGCCAAAACAUUACAAGAUGGAUCGUUAUGUAGUGACAAUAAAUAAAGAAGCACCCCAGCCCUAACACAGGCAGAGAGGGCAGAACAUGAUGGAACAGCAGUGCAAAAGAAGUCUAAAAGCAGACAGCACAGCGAAUGCUUUCUGCCCAACGCCAUCGAUUGAUAUUCGAUUGGCUCCGGGAUCCGUUUAAUCCUCUCUCAUUAUUAUCAGCCACCAUUUUAAACAGCAGAGCUCAGGAAGAACUCGCAGAGCUAUGUAUUGACCGUUCCCUGACACUGAAACAUGGUGAACUACGUCUGGAUAUCUUUUGGCUGCUUGUGGGACACGAUAUCCAUCCCUCUCAGAGAGUGCCAUUAACGUGCUUUUACAGUUUCCUACCUCCUACUUGUGCGAGCUGGCGUUUUUCCUCACUCGCAUAUGUCAAAAACAAGACCCGCCCGGCUGUCAGGGGAACAGGACCUCCGCGUUGCACUGUCCACUCUCCCCCUGCGCAUAGAGAGACUCUGCUCCCAAAAGUAGGCACUAACAUGUGCAUAACAUAGCUUUAUUUUGUUUUGCUGUUAGAACGGAUUAUUCUGUUAUAAUUAUUAUUUAUUUGAAGUUAUCAUAGGCCUACCUCUUUUGUAAUCCAAAUGUAAAAUAAUGACUCAUGGAAUCCUUGUUUUUACACAGGAAGGCCUACUAUUUUCAGCCAAAACUAAAGAGCCUACUGUACACCUGUUUUUCAUAUUUCAAUCAUCACACUAAGGAUGACUUAUAUUUGAUUAUUUGUUCUAUAGAAUGUGCUGGUGUGGUUUUUAAAUCUACGCAAAGUUGGUGUGCCUUAGGGUCGAGAAAUAUUUUCAGGGGUGCCUUGGUAAAAAAAAGGUUGGGAACCACUGUUCUAGAGAGUAUAAAUAAAUAGAUGUCUGAAGUAGAUUCAUAAUGUCGUUCAUAGAAGGUUUGAACUUCCCGUCAACUGACCUCACACAUGAAGAUGUCAAAGAUCCUGGUGGCAACGGGCAGAGGGAAGGAGGUGAGGAAGAUGGUGAGGAACCAGGAGGAGGCGUACAUGGAGGUGUGGAAACUCUGAGCCUGGAAAUGUAUAUGCAGCUCCGGGAGUUGUUCCUGAGAGGCAGAGAUCAUAUGGAUUCACGCCGUUUACUUCAAAACUAGAAAAAACUUUUACUACCAAGCAUGAGGUGUCUACCUGGAUCAUGGACUCAAACUGGUACAUGCAGAGACCCAGCUCUGCCAUGCUGGGCUUGAAGAGCUCUCGUAAUCUGUAGUCUUGCAUCAACUUCACAAACACGCAGAACGCCUCCUCUUCUGGCAUCUGGGGAAGAAACAGGAUGAAAUCAAACCUCUGAAUUUGUCACAAAAAACAUGAACAAGGUAUUUGCUAGUGAAUCAAUGUGUGUGUGUGUGUGUGUGUGUGUGUGUGUGUGUGUGUGUGUGUGUGUGUGUGUGUGUGUGUGGUGAAGAUUGGAUUGUUACCUGCAUGAGUAGCAGUCCUACAAUGAAUGCACUCCCUUGACAAUAGCCAACCUCACGGUCAACCAGAGAAUAUGCCUGAGGUGACAGAUAGCUUUGGGUGAGUCUCAUUGUUGCACACACUUCAUUAUGGAUGUGAAAGCCAAACACCUUUUUGGGAACAUCAUUUAACAACCAGGUUCCUCAAACUGAAAAUUGUACCUUCAUGACGUUGAAGAGCACUUCCUGACCCAAGCUGUCUUUCUCUUUGAAGAAUUCGUGUUCGGGGUAAGUGCGUGCGAUGUCUCUGCGAAUCAGCUUCUCGCAGGGCGACGUCAUCUUCAGGAGUUCCGAGUAUUGAUCCUUGAUGGGCAUAUUCUGGGCUGUGCACAACAACUGCCACACUAUUGCCCGGAAGUGGUGAGGAAUCCCUUUUCUGACAAGAUCCUGAAGGAAAAGAUCAUAAUAGAUAGACUUGGUGCAUCUGCUCAACCCAGGGUGCAUCUGGAGCAGAGGUCCACCCACGCAGGCUUCCAGCAGGGAUCUCCCCUCCCCUCUCAGAGGUUCUCCGUUUCCACACGAGCAACAAGCAAGUGAACGCAUUACAGAGAAAGGCGUUAUCACGGGGUUUCACCAAACAGUUCAGUGUGUCACCAUGACUGUGGAUCUGCCGAACAAUAAUUCUCCCCGUUAGAGAGCAAUAAUAAUCUUCAGGUUUGACUUGACCUUAAUGACCUGCGCAUCACAAUCAAUUCCACAGCAGCACCAAGCAAACGCACAUAAACUGUGACUGCCAUGACUCUUUUGGUGAACACGAUGUUAUCCAACAGAGAAAUGAACAGGAUUUGUGUUUUUCCACUUGUCCAUUGACAGUCAUUUAUGACAGCACAGGUCUACCGCAAGUCCUCGGAGAGUAACUGUAGAAACAAGCAAGCUAAAAUUAACUUCAAAUGUCAAGCACUAAAAAAACACUGCAGUGUCACCUACAACAGAUAGCCUUCGAAUGUAUUUCUGGACCGAGUAAACAUUCAAACAGAUUUGACCACUGUAGCAUUCAGGCCAGCAGUUGAAACAAAAGUGGUAAAACAUAUGCAUCACAAGACUUUGUUCUAAAGUCUAAACAAAUGCUCAUCCAGAAACAGCCUAUGAGAAUCUUUUCUCUAUUUCUUUUAGACCAGGACUAUUUAUUUCAGUCGCAUUCAUUUUUUCCUAUCAUUCAUGAAAUGACUGCAUUAUCCUAGUUUCCAGCAGAUGGCUGGCACAGCUUUAAGCUCUUAAUGCUAUAAGCAGGGCUGCACAGACUCUGCUGUCACCUCACAGGUAGCCCCGCUCUCACCUUAAGCUGCUUCUCUUUCUUCUUGCGCACAUCCUCCCACUCGUUGACGAUUCGUCCCCACAGGAUCCACGUAUCCUCCUCCAGGUGGGAGAGGUUGGAUGAGGCGGAGGAGCUGGACACCAGCGAGGAGCCGCUGUUCCUCCUGGAGCCGUUCAUGGAGCGCAGAGACUUGCUGUCGGUCUCCAGCAGCCUGCAGGGAAGGGAAGAUGGACGGUUAUCACUGUGCAGAGACAACAACAUCUCUUUACCAAUACGUCUACAAGCAAGGCAUGUUUGUUUCAAGCGUUCAUCAGAAUCUGUGUCUCUUCAUUAAAGACACAAAUCACGGACGCAUAGUCAAAACAUUAAUAUACUCUAAAUGGAAUUAUAUGAAUGUCUUUCUUUUCCUUGAGUAACACAUUCAGGCUUGUAAUACAAACUGUACGUUGUUUAAGUCCUUUAGAAACUAGAUCCUGCUGUAUUAUUGUCCCUUUUGGUAUUUGGAAAUAUCAGAGUAAGUGUACAUUUAAUUGAAAUUGAACAUAUGCAAGAACAACAUUCUGAAAACCAGUAUGUCAAAAUAAAGUGGGAGAAGUUGGGUUUGAAAUAUUUUUAACAAACACAGUUUGUCUGAAAUCUGAAUCUGUUUCCGGGAGAUAAAAUAGAGAUCCAGAUAACUUGUUCCACGCUGAUUUGACCUCCAAACAAGACCAAGUACAACCGAUUGCAUUGGUUUACCCUCACAUGACCUUAACCAUUCAAAGGCAAAAUGCAAAAACAGAAGGCAGACAAACUUCAAACUGUGAUUGCUCAAACACAAUCCACAGAAAAUCUAAUGAAAGCUGCCCACGUUUUAGGAUGGUGCUUUAAAAUGAUGAGACCUUCUUUGAAAACGUACAGCAUUACUUUACACAUGAUGAGUCUGCAGACAAUUAUUUCCCCUCUCAAGAUGUGUUAAGUCUUACAUGUCAGAUCUGAUUAAAGAAUUGCUCGACAAAGAAUAAAUGACACUAUUAGUGGAAAAACUAUAAAACAGCUUGACCAACAACAUAAAUAAAUAAUAAUAAACAACAGGAGCUAAAGUAAAUACAAGUAAGCAGAGAGAAUCCUCUUCAUUUAAAUCUCAGUUACUACAGGUUGGUACUGAUAUAAAUGGAACAAUGAAUGACUUUACAGAAAGGGAUAUAAAACACUUAAAGGAAGGGGUGUUGGCACUGGCUGAAACUUUGAAUGUCUGAAAGAACUACAACAGGUCUGAUGUGAAAGCAACAACGAAUAUUGAAGGUCUUGUAAACACUCAAAGUCUGCAUUUGAAGUGCAUUGUGGGGGAUGAACCGCUCCACCAAUGUGUUUCUCAGCAGGUCAAUCGGUGUCACCCUUAUCAGUUUGGCAGUGGAAUUACUGACAGACUGACCCAAUCAAGGAUCAGUGUGCAGAGACAAGAGGCUGCGGCUCCCGACCUGUGUGGUGGCACCGAAGAGCCGGUGACAGACACACAAAGGCUCAGACACCUGAUCUCGGAAAAAAGCCUGGGCCUCUGCCGGAGCACCAUGACGUCAGCCAGGGUGCUCCCAGAAAGGCUUAGGGUUACAGCCAAAUGUGGGGGGUGUGGAGGAGGGAGUGAAAUGGACUCCCAGAAAGACCGGUGCUGCUACACUUCUAUUCAGCUCUGAUGUAAAGCUGAAAGUGAUUCAAAAGUAACAUCUUACAGAGAGAAUUUGGAAGGAGUUUCCACUUUAUUUCAGUUAUUCGGUCACAAACGGCUGAGUUACACAUGGACCUGAACACAGCGAGAGCUCUGCUAAUAAUUCACCAGUGGUCAAACAGAAGUUAGAAGCCUCAAAAAUACAAAAACUAAAAACCGAACAGAAUUAACUAUAGUAAAGCAAUGUUUGCUGUGAUUAAAAAGGUACGUUUGAAGACAAUUUUAAACUACAUGCUACACAAUUAAAGGUACAAUCUCUUUAAAUUGUGUCACUCUCAGUAUGACUUCUAUUCGCAGUGCACAACAGCAACAGAACAGGCCUAUAACUGAUCAAAACAAACCUUACCAAGAAAAACUCAUGAUGUAUUCCUCAUAUUUCUGGUUUCUAGGAAUUCUGGAGCAGUAAUGGCAUGUCUGAAAUGUUGUAGCAGUCAGCCGGGGACUUCCUCGUCUGUGUGACACUAUUGAACGAACGCUCGUACCUUUUAUCUGCUCUGCAGGGUACAAAGGCCUAACCAAACACACAAACACUUGGUAAGCAAGUGCGGGGCUCUUCACAGUGGGUUGCUCACGUGCUACAGGUUGCUUUAGUAUCAGUGUGGCAGCAGAGAAAUUGAGUCUUGUGAAAGAGCCCCACUAUAUGUUGGGUUGGAGGGCAGGGUCAGAGGGCAUAUGAACUAUGAGCCCCUUGACAUUGUGACUUCUGUCACCAGAGCUUCAUGAAUGAAGUUAGGGACAAAAUGAAACAUUUCCCUGGUUAGUUCUGAUCUCCACUAAUGAGGGAAAGAGUCACUUGGCAUUCUGGAGCAGUGGCAGUUGUGGGCGUACCGAUGAGUCAUGACAUUUAACAGAGAUUUGCUUUCUACAUCCCUCUAGUUAACUGUGACACAAUCCUGAACUCUGAACCGUUUGCUUGGUUUCCAUGCUGACACACUGAACUAGCCUUUGGGGAAAGACAAAACGGAGGAAGAAUUGGCAGGAGAACAGUCUUGCAUCACCUUUUAACCCUCCUGUUACAUUCAGGGUCAAACUGACCCGUUUUAAAGUUUGAAA